ensembl:snRNA U6 U6 spliceosomal RNA
AUGCUUGCUUCAGCAGCACAUAUCCUAAAAUUGGAUGAUACAGAGAAAUUAACAUGGCCCCUACACAAGGAUGACGUGCAAAUUGGUGAAGCAUUACAUGAUAGA